GACAGCACCAUAAGGAGUCUGUGUUCCUGCACAAAGAUUAAGUGUGUGACAGUGUCUGUCGAGUUCAUAUUUCAAACCAGGAGACAUCCUCAGUUCCUGAGAAUAAACUCAGUGCUGUUUUCAGGAAACAGACUGUUCAUGGUCAGUUCUGGAUCUCUGUCAUCUCCCCGAAGGCCACUGGGCCCAAACACGUGCACCGGGUGACAAGUGUUCCACCUCUGCAUAAGGACAGCCAGCCCUCAUUCCUUUUGGAACACGAGCCCAGGGCUGACUUAAUUGAAGUGGGCAGUGUUAGGACCGAAGUCAACACACACUCACAUUCAUGAAGGUCCAUGGAAUGAGCCAACUAAGGGAAGACCAGCUGGCUAGAUUCUUCAUAAAAUGGGGGAUUUUCCUGUUCCAGAAAGUGAUCCAGUUGCUACAUCCAGAGUGAAAAAUUAAAUCCUCAUCUUCUCAUCCAUCAAGCUGGGCUUCAUUCAUAUUAAUGUGUCCCACAGCGAGAUCUACUCUACAUCCUCUUUCAGCUUGGGCAUCUUGGCUGAUUGGGAUUCCAUACAGCAGAUGGCACUGAUGGAUAUUGUACCUACACAACCUUCAGGUGACAUACGAGCACCUCUGCGCCCCUGGCUCAUGGACAUCUAAGAAAAACCCAUCUGGACCUUUCAGUCAGUGGACACACAGGAAGUGAAUUAUGAAUAAGCAAUUUUAUUCUCUCAAAAUCAGAGCAGAAAAUGCUCAAAAAAUCCAUCUGGACCUAAAGAUAAGCUGCAAAGUCACUGUUGCACAAUAACAAAUUUGAAUUGUAAACCAGAAGUGUGCUGAAUGCUGAGUCAUGUGAUAACUAACACAAAACCUAAUUCCCUCCUCCAUUUUCCUCUGCUGGCUGAUGAUGGAUUGUUGAAUGUGUCUUUUUUUCUCUCUAACUGUCACGUUAAGCCUUUUUCCUGAAUCAUUUCUGGUUAUUAAAGUGGCCCAUUUGUCCUCUCCAUUGGUGAGUGCGGUUACACGGCCGGUGACUGAAGUGCUCUUAUGAACGGAGCGAUGACUGGACUGGGGUCAAGCCGGCCAUGAGCAUCUCUGCUGUGCUGUUCCUCCCACUUGCCUUAUUACGUUGUCAAGACAAGGCGAUUUAGUUAAUUGCCUCAUUUGGAGGUUGAAAUAUUAUGCAGCAAAUGUACUCUGUUAUGGCCAUUUUUGAGUGCUUUUCUGGAUUCAUGGUUUGUACAGGAUUGAUUUUCUUCUCCAUCUUACUUUUGCAUAGGCCAGCUUGAUUUUUGAUGUACAUGUCUAUUUAGAUAUUAGUUUAGUAGCUAUCAUUCUUUUAUAAAGAG
ensembl:lncRNA